GUGGGGGGUGCCUCCCCCUCCUGCGAUGGGGGUCCCCAGAGCCAGGGGGGGAAGAGGGACUGGCUCUCAGUAAUCCCACGUAAGGUACCUGCCGUCGGAAGAUUUGAACUUUCUACUUGGACAACUAACACCCACAGUCCUCCAGGUGGGUCCUAAGGAUCUUAGGAUCAACGAUGGGGGGUCCUAAGCCGGGGGGGAAGAGGGUCUGGCUCUCAGUCCCCACCCUCGCGGGGGGUGCCUCCCCCUCCUGCGAUGGGGGUCCCCAGAGCCAGGGGGGGAAGAGGGACUGGCUCUCAGUCCCUGCCUCGCGGGGGGUGCCUCCGCCCCCAGCGAUGGGGGUCCUAAGAGCAAAGGGGGGAAGAGGGGCUCGCUCUCAGUCCCCGUGUCGUGAGGGGUGCCUCCUCCCCUGCGAUGAGGGUGCAAAGAGCCAGGGGAGGAAAGGGGGAGGUUCGCAGUCCCCGCCUCGCGGGGAUUGCCUCCCCCACUGCGAUAGUGGUCCCAAGAGCCAGGCGGGGAAGAGGGGUUGGCUCUGAGUCCCCGCCUCGCGGGGGGUGCCUCCCCCCACUGCGAUGGGAGUCCCAAGAGCCAGGGGGGAAGAGGGGAUGGAUCUCAGCCAUCACAAAAUGGGGGGCCUUUAUAUUCAGGUUUUACCCAAGAAUCAGCUUAUUUGCUUCUUGUACUAGCAGGGCAGUUGCUGCCAAGGCCCUCUAAUAGGGGGGCCAUCCUUUAGAAACCUGUCUAGUUGUUUAGAGACGUAGGCUACCGGCCUCAGCCAGGGCCCCACAGUUUGGGUUAAAAGUCCAGCUGCCAUCUUUUCUCUCUCUGACGCAUACAAUGGAAAAGGCUUUGUCAGAUCGGGUAGCCCCAGGGCUGGGGCUGCCAGAAGUUUUUCCUUUAACUAAUGAAAGACUUGCUGUUGUCGGGAUCCCCAUUUCAAAGUUUCCGGGUCCCCGCCCCCUUUGUGACCUCAUACAAAGGCUUGGCUAAUACUGCAAUGUUUGGGAUCCACAGUCUACGAAACCCCACAGCUCCUAAGAAUUCUCUCACCUGCCUUCUGCCCUUAAGCUCCGGUAGAUUGCAAAUAACCUGCUUUCUUUCUGUUCCCGAGCUGCGUUCGGACCCAUGUCUUAUUGUAAAUCCCACGCAAGGUACCUGCCGUCGGAAGAUUUGAGCUUUCUUCUUGAACACCUCAUACCCACAGUCCUCCAGGUGGUUCCUAAGGAUCUUAGGAUCCCCGAUGGGCGUCCUAAGCCAGUGGGGGAAGAGGGGCUGGCUCUCAGUCCCCGCCUUGCGGGGGGUGUCUCCCCACCCUGUGAUGGGGGUCACAAGAGCCAGAGGGGGAAGAGGGGCUGGCUCUCAACCACCACGAAAUGGGAGGCCUUUAUGUUCAGGUUUUGCCCAAGAGUCAGCUUAUUUGCUUCUUGUACUAGCAGGGCAGUUGCUGCCAAAGCCCUCAAAUAGGGAGGCCGUCCUUUAGCAACCCUGUCUAGUUGUUUAGAGACGUAGGCUACCGGCCUCAGCCAGGGCCCCACAGUUUGGGUUAAAAGUCCAGCUGCCAUCUUUUCUCUCUCUGACGCAUACAAUGGAAAAGGCUUUGUCAGAUCGGGUAGCCCCAGGGCUGGGGCUGCCAGAAGAUUUUCUUGUAACUCAUGAAAAACUUGCUGUUGUUGGGAUCCCCAUUUCAAAAGUUCCGGGUCCCCGACCCCUUUGUGACCUCAUACAAAGGCUUGGCUAAUACUGCAAAGUUUGGGAUCCACAGUCUACAAAACCCCACAGCUCCUAAGAAUUCUCUCACCUGCCUUCUGCCCUUAAGCUCCGGUAGAUUGCAAAUAACCUGCUUUCUUUCUGUUCCCGAGCUGCGUUCGGACCCGUCUGAUCGUAAAUCCCAUGUAAGGUACCUGCCGUCGGAAGAUUUGAACGUUCUACUUGGACACCUAAAACCCACAGUCCUCCAGACAGAAAGACAACAGGUACAAAGCCCUAAGGAUUAUAAAGGUAUGCUGCUUACCAUCAUCUUAGUGACCAAGGCAGCGAAGCUGUUUCUGUACCUUGGAACAGUCUUCCCUGACAAGCCAGAGAACAGUGAUAAAGCCACCAGCCUUGGGAUCAGGACUGAAAAGGCAAGAGUGAUGGAGAUUUCUCCUGCGCUAAGCCAAGAGAAGGUUUCAGCACUUCAGACAGCUCCCACCGAAGUAGCCGCGCUCCCAGCUGCUUGCAGAUGUUGAAAAGGAAAGCCUCGGUUUGUCUUGAGGUUGUCAGCAGGUGCAAGACACGUAAUAAAAUGCAAUGUGUUCCUAAUUCAUUGCAUAUCCUCAGCUUUAAAUUUGGGUAGCAAAAUGAUUACUCUAGAUUCUUCAGUCUUGGCAAGUAUCUGUACCUAAAAAGCAGUUUUUCUACCUAAUGUCUUUUUUUGUUUUUGUUUUUCAAUACACCUUAAGCAAAUUGAAGCUUUUGUUCCUGGAGGAAAAGUGGUUUGAUAUGUUCAUCUAUCUUUUAGUAAAUUUGGGGGCAUAACUUUUCCAAUUCUGAGGAACUUUUCUAAGAAGAGUGCAUAAAAGUUUGUU
rnacentral:lncRNA from 1 species